UACAGAGGGGGCAAGCGUUAUUCGGAAUUAUUGGGCGUAAAGGGCGCGUAGGCGGCUUGGCAAGUGGAAGGUGAAAUCCCUCGGCUUAACCGAGGAACUGCCCUCCAAACUGCUUGGCUUGAGACCGGGAGAGGUGAGUGGAAUUCCCAGUGUAGCGGUGAAAUGCGUAGAUAUUGGGAGGAACACCGGUGGUGUAGACGGCUCUCUGGACCGUAACUGACGCUGAGACACGAAAGCGUGGGUAGCAAACAGG
rnacentral:rRNA from 1 species